UUUAUUGGAAUAAUUGAUUGAUUAGUGAAUGAAAGUGUAUCACUAUUGCAAAAGCGGGGAGUAGCGGCGGAGAAACAGCGGCUGUGGCCAAAAUCGCCGCAUAUUGGACGGGUAGCUGCAGAGAUGACCGGCGGUCUGGUAAAUGACGCAAAACGCUCCUGAAUAGCGGCUGGGUAGCGAAGACCGCAGCGAAAUUAGGAUAUAUAUCGUCAACAUUCCUCGUCUGACCCUAUAUUCUUGGCGCGCACCAAAGCAGAGCAGAGGUGCGAACCACACCCACCCCCCUGUGCCACAUACAAUAUACCCGGCGACUACUUCCAUAAACGCCGCUAGAAACCCGCGAGUUUAUUUUAGCAGCGCGCCAACCAAGAGCAAGAGCAGAGCCGUGAACUUCAGCGGAAGAACCCAGCCAGAAACCCCUAAAAUUUUCGAGCUAUUUCCUGUUAUCCACAAUUCCUGAAACCAUACUCUCUCAGCCAUUGUGUGCAAAAUUCCUGACCUUUGCUCCACCUUGCGCUUCCGUGUUGGUCGUCGAGCCGCACAGCUGCCAUCAGUGCUUCUCUCACCGGGGUUGAAGUUGAUAAUAUCCCCCUUCACUGGUUCGUUCAUCCAUAUUGACCUCUUUUUCGUGUUUUCAUUCUUGGUUCAGACUUUUGAACAAUAAUUUGUCUAUAUCUUCUAUUUGUUGGGGUUAAUUGCUGCUGUUUAGAGUUAGGAAUUUGAUUCAUGUGACUUGAUCCAUUAUGAGCAAGCUCAGCUGCCUAAUCAUUUAUCUAUUGUUGUCAUUACUUUAACUAUUUGAACAAUAGAGAGUUGAUUAUCUAGAUAGAUAAUUCAGUAUGAUUAAUUAGUGUAUUACUCUGUGUAUGAUCAGCAAGAAUUGAGUAUGAUGAGUUAGCAUAUUACUCUGUCUAUGACCAACAAGAAUUGAGUAUGAUUAAUUAUCAUAUUACUCUAUGUAUGAUUAAUUAGUUAUGUUAAAAGAUUAAUCU